rnacentral:rRNA from 1 species
GUCUACAGCCAUGCCACCUUGAACAUGCCCGAUCUCGUCUGAUCUCGGAAGCUAAGCAGGGUUGAGCCUGGUUAGUACUUAGAUGGGAGACCACCUAAGAAUACCAGGUGCUGUAGGCG